GCUCCGGUCGUCUAGUCCGGCCAAGGAUACUAGGCUUUCACCCUAGCGACCCGGGUUCAAACGGUUCUGCUGGCACA
rnacentral:tRNA from 1 species